AGAGUUUGAUCCUGGCUCAGGACGAACGCUGGCGGCGUGCCUAAUACAUGCAAGUAGAACGCUGAAGGAGGAGCUUGCUUCUCUGGAUGAGUUGCGAACGGGUGAGUAACGCGUAGGUAACCUGCCUGGUAGCGGGGGAUAACUAUUGGAAACGAUAGCUAAUACCGCAUAAGAGUGGAUGUUGCAUGACAUUUGCUUAAAAGGUGCACUUGCAUCACUACCAGAUGGACCUGCGUUGUAUUAGCUAGUUGGUGGGGUAACGGCUCACCAAGGCGACGAUACAUAGCCGACCUGAGAGGGUGAUCGGCCACACUGGGACUGAGACACGGCCCAGACUCCUACGGGAGGCAGCAGUAGGGAAUCUUCGGCAAUGGACGGAAGUCUGACCGAGCAACGCCGCGUGAGUGAAGAAGGUUUUCGGAUCGUAAAGCUCUGUUGUAAGAGAAGAACGAGUGUGAGAGUGGAAAGUUCACACUGUGACGGUAUCUUACCAGAAAGGGACGGCUAACUACGUGCCAGCAGCCGCGGUAAUACGUAGGUCCCGAGCGUUGUCCGGAUUUAUUGGGCGUAAAGCGAGCGCAGGCGGUUAGAUAAGUCUGAAGUUAAAGGCUGUGGCUUAACCAUAGUAGGCUUUGGAAACUGUUUAACUUGAGUGCAAGAGGGGAGAGUGGAAUUCCAUGUGUAGCGGUGAAAUGCGUAGAUAUAUGGAGGAACACCGGUGGCGAAAGCGGCUCUCUGGCUUGUAACUGACGCUGAGGCUCGAAAGCGUGGGGAGCAAACAGGAUUAGAUACCCUGGUAGUCCACGCUGUAAACGAUGAGUGCUAGGUGUUAGACCCUUUCCGGGGUUUAGUGCCGUAGCUAACGCAUUAAGCACUCCGCCUGGGGAGUACGACCGCAAGGUUGAAACUCAAAGGAAUUGACGGGGGCCCGCACAAGCGGUGGGGCAUGUGGUUUAAUUCGAAGCAACGCGAAGAACCUUACCAGGUCUUGACAUCCCUCUGACCGCUCUAGAGAUAGAGUUUUCCUUCGGGACAGAGGUGACAGGUGGUGCAUGGUUGUCGUCAGCUCGUGUCGUGAGAUGUUGGGUUAAGUCCCGCAACGAGCGCAACCCCUAUUGUUAGUUGCCAUCAUUUAGUUGGGCACUCUAGCGAGACUGCCGGUAAUAAACCGGAGGAAGGUGGGGAUGACGUCAAAUCAUCAUGCCCCUUAUGACCUGGGCUACACACGUGCUACAAUGGCUGGUACAACGAGUCGCAAGCCGGUGACGGCAAGCUAAUCUCUUAAAGCCAGUCUCAGUUCGGAUUGUAGGCUGCAACUCGCCUACAUGAAGUCGGAAUCGCUAGUAAUCGCGGAUCAGCACGCCGCGGUGAAUACGUUCCCGGGCCUUGUACACACCGCCCGUCACACCACGAGAGUUUGUAACACCCGAAGUCGGUGAGGUAACCGUAAGGAGCCAGCCGCCUAAGGUGGGAUAGAUGAUUGGGGUGAAGUCGUAACAAGGUAGCCGUAUCGGAAGGUGCGGCUGGAUCACCU
rnacentral:rRNA from 1 species